rnacentral:misc_RNA from 1 species
AAGUCGUAACAAGGUUUCCGUAGGUGAACCUGCGGAAGGAUCAUUAACACGUAUCGUACGUUUAAAAACCCCGUGCACGUUGAUAAAACUUCUUCCAAGUAGUGGUUGAGGCGCGAGUUUUGACCAUGAAAGGCCGCGGCGAUGACGUUCGAACUGGAGCUUUGGGGGAAAAGGGCCCUCGACUGGACGAGCAUGGGCUGGCGAGCCCUGGGGAGGUGAACCAGGUCGCGUAAUUGAAGAAUUUAAACCGAACUAACUUGACAAAACUUGUCCCGUAAAACGGACUCGAAACCCGAACAACUGUUAACAAUGGAUAUCUUGGUUCUC